GACGAACCGUGCGAACGUUGUUCGGAUUCACUGGGCUUAAAGGGCGCGUAGGCGGGCGACCAAGUCAGGGGUGAAAUCUUUCGGCCCAACCGGAAAAGUGCCCCUGAUACUGGCCGCCUCGAGGGGGGUAGGGGCAUGCGGAACUCCGGUGGAGCGGUGAAAUGCGUAGAUAUCGGAAGGAACGCCGGUGGCGAAAGCGGCGUGCUGGACCCCUUCUGACGCUGAGGCGCGAAAGCCAGGGGAGCAAACGGG
rnacentral:rRNA from 1 species